UUGCUCGUAUCCUCUGAAUCGCGAAGUGUUAAUUCUGCAAUGGUGACAGGAAAAGGCAAUGUACUGAGGCUCGACAACCUCUGAAGUAGCCCACAUUAUUUGUCGUGGGCUCCCCAAAGAGUUCCUUUCAAAGAGGGAAAGCUGCAACAAAUAAAUGAAAACCACCAGAGAGAGAGAGAGAGAGAGAGAGGAGCAAUAGACAUGGAGAAUGGAGAAUGGAGAUCCCGAUGAAAAAUUAAAGGCAUUCAAAGACUAUUUCUAGAGCACCUGAUGUCUCUGUAUUCUUCAUAGAGACUUUGCUGCUCUAUCAAAUCAGACAUGCACAGAAAGCUGUCUUGGCACACAGCCUAAGAAGAUUUAAGGACUGCCAUGGGCCUCUGCUACUGAGGGAUGAGGCAAGGAGGUAAGGGGGUUGCGAGCCUGCCCACCAGAGACAGAAGUCACACAGAGUUCUCAAGUCUAGCAGGAAGGUCCAAAGAGAACUUUGGUCAGAUGAAAAUUUUACAUCAGAGACCUUCAUCUCUCAAGAAGACAGGCACAGUACUUUCCCCAAAGAUGAAACAUAUUCCUAUUGCUUGCCUUAUUGCUGUCAUCUGGAAUGGGAGAUGAUGCUUCCUUUUCAUUACUACAAGUUUGAUGUGGCUAAUACCAACACAAAAGAAAAGAAAAGUUGAUUUUGGAUUGCUUUAAUAACGUUAAUGUCAAUUAACAUGUUAAUACUGUAUAAUGUUCAGCUCAAAAGACAGUGCUAUAGUAACAUAGGUAGGUAAACACAGGAUAUAUAAGGGAUACUUGGGAAAGGACAGUUGAACAAAUUAUGCCCAGAGU
rnacentral:lncRNA from 1 species